rnacentral:rRNA from 1 species
GAUGAACGCUGGCGGCGUGCUUAACACAUGCAAGUCGAACGGAAAGGCCUCUGCUUGCAGGCUCACUCGAGUGGCGAACGGGUGAGUAACAAGUGGGUGAUCUGCCCUGCACUUCGGGAUAAGCCUGGGUAACUGGGUCUAAUAACGGAUAGGACAAUGGUUUGGAUGCUGUUGUGGAAAGUUUUGCGGUGUGGGAUGAGCUCGCGGCCUAUCAGCUUGUUGGUGGGGUAAUGGCCUACCAAGGCGUCGACGGGGAGCCGGCCUGAGAGGGUGCACGGGCACAUUUGGACUGAGGAAAGGCCCAGACUCCUAAGGGGGGCAGCAGGGGGGAAAAUUGCACAAUGGGGGCGAGCCUGAUGCAGGGACGCCGCGGGGGGGAUGACGGCCUUCGGGGUGGAAACUCCUUUCGCUAAGGACGAAGCGUUUUUGUGACGGUACCUGGAGAAGAAGCACCGGCUAACUACGUG